rnacentral:rRNA from 1 species
UACGAAGGGGCUAGCGUUGUUCGGAAUUACUGGGCGUAAAGGGCGCGUAGGCGGUACUUCAAGUCAGGCGUGAAAGCCCCGGGCUCAACCUGGGAACCGCGCUUGAGACUGGAGAACUAGAGUUCGGGAGAGGAUGGUGGAAUUCCCAGUGUAGAGGUGAAAUUCGUAGAUAUUAGGAAGAACACCGGUGGCGAAGGCGGCCCACUGGCUCGAUACUGACGCUGAGGUGCGAAAGCGUGGGGAGCAACAGG